rnacentral:rRNA from 1 species
GAUGAACGCUGGCGGCGUGCUUAACACAUGCAAGUCGAACGGAAAGGCCCAAGCUUGCUUGGGUACUCGAGUGGCGAACGGGUGAGUAACACGUGGGUGAUCUGCCCUGCACUUCGGGAUAAGCCUGGGAAACUGGGUCUAAUACCGGAUAGGACCACCUUUUGGAUGGUGUGGUGGAAAGUUUUUCGGUGUGGGAUGAGCUCGCGGCCUAUCAGCUUGUUGGUGGGGUAAUGGCCUACCAAGGCGUCGACGGGUAGCCGGCCUGAGAGGGUGUACGGCCACAUUGGGACUGAGAUACGGCCCAGACUCCUACGGGGGGGAGCAGUGGGGAAUAAUGCAAAAUGGGCGCAAGCCUGAUGCAGCGACGCCGCGUGGGGGAUGACGGGCUUCGGGUUGGAAACUCCUUUCGCUAGGGACGAAGCGUUAUGUGACGGUACCUGGAGAAGAAGCACCGGCUAACUACGUG